rnacentral:misc_RNA from 1 species
UACGUAGGGGGCAAGCGUUGUCCGGAAUUAUUGGGCGUAAAGAGUUCGUAGGCGGCAUGUAUUGUCGCGGGUUAAAGCUCCCGGCUCAACCGGGGAGGGCCAUUGGAAACUGGGAGGCUUGAGUAUAGGAGAGAAGAGUGGAAUUCCACGUGUAGCGGUGAAAUGCGUAGAGAUGUGGAGGAACACCAGUGGCGAAGGCGACUCUUUGGCCUAUAACUGACGCUGAGGCGCGAAAGCGUGGGGAGCAAACAGG